GCGGCGUGCCUAAUACAUGCAAGUCGAGCGAGCGGAACUAACAGAUUUACUUCGGUAAUGACGUUAGGAAAGCGAGCGGCGGAUGGGUGAGUAACACGUGGGGAACCUGCCCCAUAGUCUGGGAUACCACUUGGAAACAGGUGCUAAUACCGGAUAAGAAAGCAGAUCGCAUGAUCAGCUUUUAAAAGGCGGCGUAAGCUGUCGCUAUGGGAUGGCCCCGCGGUGCAUUAGCUAGUUGGUAAGGUAAAGGCUUACCAAGGCGAUGAUGCAUAGCCGAGUUGAGAGACUGAUCGGCCACAUUGGGACUGAGACACGGCCCAAACUCCUACGGGAGGCAGCAGUAGGGAAUCUUCCACAAUGGACGCAAGUCUGAUGGAGCAACGCCGCGUGAGUGAAGAAGGUUUUCGGAUCGUAAAGCUCUGUUGUUGGUGAAGAAGGAUAGAGGUAGUAACUGGCCUUUAUUUGACGGUAAUCAACCAGAAAGUCACGGCUAACUACGUGCCAGCAGCCGCGGUAAUACGUAGGUGGCAAGCGUUGUCCGGAUUUAUUGGGCGUAAAGCGAGCGCAGGCGGAAGAAUAAGUCUGAUGUGAAAGCCCUCGGCUUAACCGAGGAACUGCAUCGGAAACUGUUUUUCUUGAGUGCAGAAGAGGAGAGUGGAACUCCAUGUGUAGCGGUGGAAUGCGUAGAUAUAUGGAAGAACACCAGUGGCGAAGGCGGCUCUCUGGUCUGCAACUGACGCUGAGGCUCGAAAGCAUGGGUAGCGAACAGGAUUAGAUACCCUGGUAGUCCAUGCCGUAAACGAUGAGUGCUAAGUGUUGGGAGGUUUCCGCCUCUCAGUGCUGCAGCUAACGCAUUAAGCACUCCGCCUGGGGAGUACUACCGCAAGGUUGAAACUCAAAGGAAUUGACGGGGGCCCGCACAAGCGGUGGAGCAUGUGGUUUAAUUCGAAGCAACGCGAAGAACCUUACCAGGUCUUGACAUCUAGUGCCAUUUGUAGAGAUACAAAGUUCCCUUCGGGGACGCUAAGACAGGUGGUGCAUGGCUGUCGUCAGCUCGUGUCGUGAGAUGUUGGGUUAAGUCCCGCAACGAGCGCAACCCUUGUUAUUAGUUGCCAGCAUUAAGUUGGGCACUCUAAUGAGACUGCCGGUGACAAACCGGAGGAAGGUGGGGAUGACGUCAAGUCAUCAUGCCCCUUAUGACCUGGGCUACACACGUGCUACAAUGGGCAGUACAACGAGAAGCGAGCCUGCGAAGGCAAGCGAAUCUCUGAAAGCUGUUCUCAGUUCGGACUGCAGUCUGCAACUCGACUGCACGAAGCUGGAAUCGCUAGUAAUCGCGGAUCAGCACGCCGCGGUGAAUACGUUCCCGGGCCUUGUACACACCGCCCGUCACACCAUGGGAGUCUGCAAUGCCCAAAGCCGGUGGCCUAACUUUCGGGAAGGAGCUGUCUAAGGCAGGGCAGAUGACUGGGGUGAAGUCGUAACAAGG
rnacentral:rRNA from 1 species